AUUCUACAGUUUUCUCUGCUUUAAAGGCAUUUAAUAAAGUAAGUGGUGGUAUGAUGUGUCUAACACACUGCUGGAUAUACAUAAUGAUUGAUUUAGGCUCCAUAGGGGGCUAAGGGAUUUUAACACGUAAACAGUAACACCUUUAGAGGGCGGUGGUGAGUAGUGUUAGUUCUAACAGGUGCAGUAACACCUUUAGAGGUUGGUGGUGAGUAGUGUUAGUUCUAACAGGUGCAGUAACACCUUUAGAGGGUGGUGGUGAGUAGUGUUAGUUCUAACAGGUGCAGUAACACCUUUAGAGGGUGGUGGUGAGUAGUGUUAGUUCUAACAGGUGCAGUAACACCUUUAGAGGGUGGUGGUGAGUAGUGUUAGUUCUAACAGGUGCAGUAACACCUUUAGAGGGUGGUGGUGAGUAGUGUUAGUUCUAACAGGUGCAGUAACACCUUUAGACGGUGGUGUUAGUUCUAACAGGUGCAGUAACACCUUUAGAGGGUGGUGCUGAGUAGUGUUAGUUCUAACAGGUGCAGUAACACCUUUAGAGGGUGGUGGUGAGUAGUGUUAGUUCUAACAGGUGCAGUAACACCUUUAGAGG